rnacentral:rRNA from 1 species
GAUGAACGCUAGCGGCAGGCCUAACACAUGCAAGUCGAACGGUAACAUUGGUUGCUUGCAACCAGAUGACGAGUGGCGCACGGGUGCGGAACGCGUAUCGAACCUGCCCCCUUCAGGAGGAUAGCCCAUGGAAACGUGGAUUAAUACUCCAUAGUACCUAACCGUUGCAUGACGGGUAGGUUAAAGAUUUAUCGGAAGGGGAUGGCGAUGCGUACCAUUAGCUAGUUGGUAAGGUAACGGCUUACCAAGGCAACGAUGGUUAGGGGCCCUGAGAGGGGGAUCCCCCACACUGGUACUGAGACACGGACCAGACUCCUACGGGAGGCAGCAGUGAGGAAUAUUGGACAAUGGUGGGAACACUGAUCCAGCCAUGCCGCGUGCAGGAUGACUGCCCUAUGGGUUGUAAACUGCUUUUUUAUACGGGAAGAACCCGGGUACGUGUACCCGGCUGACGGUACCGUAAGAAUAAGGACCGGCUAACUCCGUG